CCUACGAGUGGCUGCAGUGGGGAAUAUUGGGCAAUGGAGGAAACUCUGACCCAGCAACGCCGCGUGAAUGAUGAAGGUCUUCGGAUUGUAAAGUUCUUUUCUAAGGGAAGAAGAAAGUGACGGUACCUUAGGAAUAAGCCUCGGCUAACUACGUGCCAGCAGCCGCGGUAAUACGUAGGAGGCGAGCGUUAUCCGGAAUGACUGGGCGUAAAGGGGGCGUAGGGGGUUUGGCAAGUUAGUAGCGUAACUCCAAGGCUCAACCUUGGAACUACUACUAAAACUGUUGGACUGGAGUGCAGGAGGGGCAACCGGAAUUCCUAGUGUAGCGGUGGAAUGCGUAGAUAUUAGGAGGAACACCAGUGGCGAAGGCGGGUUGCUAGACUGUAACUGACACUGAGGCACGAAAGCGUGGGGAGCAAACAGGAUUAGAUACCCCGGUAGUC
rnacentral:rRNA from 1 species